UUACUGCAGGGAACCAAGACACCUUGUCAGUUCAGUCCAUACCAUCUCAGGGGAAACUGGUGGGUGUGUCUACCUCUGAAAGGUGGGCUUCUCUUGGCCCUGCCUGUUGGCCUUGAUGCAGAUACACUCAGCAUAUUGCAGCUGCAAGGUGAGCGUAACCCAGAGCUGAGAGUGCAGCAGUUCCUGCCAGAGAUGAAAAGGUACGCUUGGGCUGCUGCUUUCCUUGACUGCUUCGCUUGCCAUCACAUUGCCAGUGCAUCAUGUUUCACU